GCGGUGGCGGCGGUGGCAGUGGCGGUGCCGAUGGCGGAGACCGAGCCCGCGAGCUUCGCGUGGCCCUGGCAGUACAGCUUCCCGCCCUUCUUCACGCUGCAGCCCAACGGCGAGACGCGGCAGAAGCAGCUGUCGGCCUGGUGCGCGCUGGCGCUGGCGUACAGCCGGCAGCACCGCCUGCCCGCCAUGACGGUGCGGGAAGCGCAGGACAUCCCGCUCUUCGCCAACCGCCGCCUCCAGCGGAAGCUGCCGCUGGAAUCCAUCCAGGUGGUGCUGGAGGAGCUCCGAAAGAACGGGAAUCUGGAAUGGUUAGAUAAGAACAAAACCAGCUUUCUGAUCAUGUGGAGGAGACCAGAAGAAUGGGGAAAGCUCAUCUAUCAGUGGGUGCUGAGGAAUGGCCUGACCAACUCUGUGUUCACGCUGUACGAGCUGGCCAGCGGGGAUGAUACCGAGAGCGAAGAGUUCCAUGGCUUGGAUGAGGCCAUGCUGCUCCGUGCCCUGCAAGCCUUGCAGCAGGAGCACAAGGCUGAAAUUAUCACGCUGGAUGACGGCCGAGGCGUCAAGUUCUUCUGACAGGAGCCCCCUUCCCCGGCUGCAGUCUUCGGUCUCGCUGACAAGGGUCGCUCCCCGGGCCUGGCUUCACGCCCUGACUGCAAGUAGCUGCAUCCUCAGGACUUCUUGGGGCAAGGAGAGUCUGCGAACCCUUCCAAAGACACGACUUAGAAAUUUCCUGAGACCCUCUGUCUGUCUGUUCUUCCUGUUGACGUGUUUGAGAGGCUGAAGCUGCUCUGGGCAGUUCCGAGAGGGACCCCCAGUAGUGAAAAACACCGGGGCUGCUGCUGGUCCUUCUUGCUGUGACAGCCUCGGAGCAGUCCCAGCUGGCUGGUUGAGCUUGUCCUCAAAGGACCCCCUGUCCCACGUGCCUGGGCCCCCCAGUCCCACUGCAGUGCCCUGGGGGUGAGGCAGGAGCAGGGGCCUGGCUGUGGCUGCUGUGCUGUGGAGGCCCUCAAUGGCAGAAGGAAAGUCACUCGCUGCCAAACGGGCUGGGGGAUGCCAAGGAACCAAUUUCAGGGGCCUCACUGGACUGGAAUACUCCCCUGCUCCUCUGGGAUCUUCCAAGGCAUCUCAUUUCACGAUGAAAAGCCUCGAUAAGGGGACAUGUCCCUGCCAGCAACCAAGCCGAGAUCUUUGCCUGUCUCUGUGUGUGUCUCACUGGAGAGAAGGGGCUCCCUGCCAGCCUGGGCCGUGUUCCUGUGCCUGGGCAGUGCAGGGUCCCUGUCAGGGAACUCUGGGUGGGGGCAGCCACAGAGCAAACCCACAGGGGCACGGGCAGCAUUGCUGGAAGAGCUGGUCAUGUGUGGGGGGUAAGCAGAGGGGAGAUCAGCAGUGAGACACAGCUUGGCCAUGGUUUCUGUAGGAACCACAUUUCAUUAAAUGCUUCUCCCUCCUCCUGCCGCCAGGGAUUUGUGGGGAGCAGUCGUGUCGGACGUGGCCACAGCCGAACUUCGGGUCAGCAGCCCCGGUUGCCCGGCGUCACACCGCGGGUGCCAGGUUAGCAUUCAG